rnacentral:rRNA from 1 species
CGGAGCCUACGGGAGGCAGCAGUGAGGAAUAUUGGUCAAUGGGCGGGAGCCUGAACCAGCCACGUCGCGUGAAGGAAGAAGGUACUUAGUAUUGUAAACUUCUUUUGUCGGGGAACAAAGGCGGAGACGCGUCUCCGGAUGAGUGUACCCGAAGAAAAAGCAUCGGCUAACUCCGUGCCAGCAGCCGCGGUAAUACGUAGGUGGCGAGCGUUGUCCGGAAUUACUGGGUGUAAAGGGAGUGUAGGCGGGAAAGCAAGUCAGAAGUGAAAACUAUGGGCUUAACCCAUAGCCUGCUUUUGAAACUG